CAUAAAAGAUCAGGCGAUGGCGUGAUUACCUUUCCGGGUGAUAUAGGGAUACAUUUUGACACGGAAAACUCCUCUGUCAGCCUCUCUCUACGACGUAACUAUGCUCUGAAUGAGAACGUGCCUGUCUACGUCAUUGAAGAAAACGGCAUAGUCCAACAACAUUUACCUGUUGUAACGGAUACAGCAUAUUACCAAGACGUAAAACAUGGGGCAGCUUUUACGGUCAAAUUUGACGAAAAAACAUCAAAAGUUUCAAAUCUGUUUGGGACACUGAGAUUACACAAUGCGAAUUACUUUCUGGAGAGGUCUGGUGACACUGAUAGCAAUGAGAACUCGCACUUUCGCCUGCGGAAGUACAAGGUCAAAGCCGG